GACGAGGGGUCCAAGCGUUGUUCGGAAUUACUGGGCGUAAAGCGUGCGCAGGCGGUUCGUUGUGUCGGCGGUGAAAUCCCCGGGCUCAACCUGGGAAUGGCCGUUGAAACUGGCGAACUGGAGUGUGGCAGAGGGGGGUGGAAUUCCGCGUGUAGCAGUGAAAUGCGUAGAGAUGCGGAGGAACACCGAUGGCGAAGGCAGCCCCCUGGGCUGACACUGACGCUCAGGCACGAAAGCGUGGGGAGCAAACAGG
rnacentral:rRNA from 1 species